rnacentral:rRNA from 1 species
GACGAACGCUGGCGGCGUGCUUAACACAUGCAAGUCGAACGGAAAGGCCCUGCUUGCAGGGUACUCGAGUGGCGAACGGGUGAGUAACACGUGGGUGAUCUGCCGUGCACUUCGGGAUAAGCCUGGUAAACUGGGUCUAAUACCGGAUAGGAGCCACUUUUAGUGUGAUGGUUGUAAAGUUUUUUCGGUGUAGGAUGAGCUCGCGGCCUAUCAGCUUGUUGGUGGGGUAAUGGCCUACCAAGGCGGCGACGGGUAGCCGGCCUGAGAGGGUGGACGGCCACAUUGGGACUGAGAUACGGCCCAGACUCCUACGGGAGGCAGGGGUGGGGAAGAUUGCACAAUGGGCGCAAGCCUGAUGCAGCGACGCCGCGUGGGGGAUGACGGCCUUCGGGUUGUAAACUCAUUUCGCUAGGGACGAAGCUUUUUGUGACGGUACCUAGAUAAGAAGCACCGGCUAACUACGUG